GCAAGACCCCAGUCGGUGGUGAGACCCCAGUCGUCUUCAGACGGGGCCUGAAAGUACCAUGCUGGGCCUCCUAACGUCGUCCCCCCGAUGAAAACAUCGCCAAACCGGGAAACCGAGAACCACAACCGCCACACUGUACGGGGAGGGUCCCAGCCGACAGCUUCAUCACGAUGAUUGUCAUCUUUUGGUUGAUUCUCAUUGCAGGAACCAUGUGGAAGGGGUAUAAGUAUCCCCCAGCAGGGGUCGUGAUCAACGUAGCGAAAGAAGAUCCCCCCGAACUAAUGCAGGUCUGAAACCGAACAUGGCCCAACUGCUCAGCUCCUGUUGGUGGUUUCACAUAAAGUGACUGCACACA